GAGGAAUAGUUUAACGAACACAACAGAGUUCAGAAUGUUGACUCGGUCUCUAAACCUCCAUCCAAGCUCGCAUCUGCGAGACGUGCUGGAAGAACAUCUCACUAUGUCCUUCAGAGGUCUUGUGUAUGGAGGACUAAAAGUGCCAAAAUUAAAUAAAUAAAUACAUCAUUAAAUAAUUAAUUAAAUAUGUCAUUAAUUAAUUAAAAUUGGAAUUAAAUAUUUCAUUAAUUAAUUAAAAUUGGAAUUAAAUAUUUCAUUAAUUAAUUAAAAUUGGAAUGAAAUACUUAAAUGUGUUAUUAAAUAAAUAUAUCAUUAAAUAAUUAAAUAUGUCAUUAAUUAAUUAAAAUUGGCAUUAAAUAUGUCAUUAAUUAAUUAAAAUUGGCAUUAAAUAUGUCAUUAAUUAAUUAAAAUUGGAAUUAAAUACAUAAAUGUGUUAUUAAAUAUGUCAUUAAUUUAUUAAAAUAACAAUUAUUUUAAGUAAAAAACAUAUUUCAUUAUUUCACUAUUUAAUUAAUUAUUUCAUGGUCCUUGCGUUGCAGUGGAUCAUGAAUUUAUUUUAUCUGUCAACCUCGCCCGUCAAAGUCGGUGGGCGGAUCCUAACACCUGAUUGGUUACCCUGCACAUCAAGUCAAGGCAAAUCGAUUCCAGAUAAUGGAUUGACGCAGAGCUUGUGAACACAUUCCGAUACACUGGGUGGCGCUAUUCACCUCUACGUUGGUUUGGAUACUCAAUAAAACAAAACUUUAUUAGCAACCGCUAAAGACUCGGUCCUCUUUCCCAAAUGUUGAUACAUGCGGUGCAAGACAAAUUUUCCUUUAGCAUUUCCUUUAGCAUCUACUCGGCGCGCCACGGCUCGUCUCGGUUUAGUUGUUUUUCCAUUACAUUGAGUACCACCUCAUCGUGGGUGGAGUCGUCAUAGCACGGUGGCCCGAAAGUCCCUUACCGUCAUUUUUGUGCGACACAAACGCAAUGCAACAAUGUACAUGGAGGCGAUAGUACACCUGCUGCUCGGUCUGUGGCUUUCUGUCAGAUUCAGAGUAACAGAAGAGUCGGAGAAAGCUGAGAGCGGCGAGUCGAAACACUCAGGAGACACACAGGAGAGUUUGGGAGGCGAUACAGCAGUAUCAAGCUGAAGACAAGAGGAUAUGAACGAGACGACAUAUAAGGAUGCUCUCUGAUGAGACUUCAUGGGAUUUACCUGAAGCAGCAGCACAUGAGCCUGCAGUGGCACAAGGUGUAGAGGAGGAGGACAGAGAUGUACAGGAUGCACUAAUGCAGUACGUGUCAUGCAAAAGUUAAAAGUUGUUCUUCUUGUUAUACUUCUGUUUUUCUGUCCCCGGACCGCUAUUGUUUUCUUUAAUGCAAUUCUGACAAUAAACUUUUGUAGAUGUG